AAUUUGAGGAAAUACCAUGUGUGACUUCACACUAUAUCAAGACCCGAAGACUCGAGCAUCUCAACGGGCACCACCUCGUAAACCGAGGACUAUCCAAUCAUCAUGCAGUUUUUGCAACCAAGUUAUUUGCUCAUUUUAUUUUUCAAUAAAGAAUUCAAAAGUAAUUUGUAAUUUGGCUUUAAUAUAUGUCUACAACAACUUAUUUCUUUCUGCACUUCAAAAGAAAAUUACACCCCCCAAGGGACCAACUGUGCUCUCCAAGAAGGGAGGAUAAACUCAACACUCCGAAUAUCCAGACGUGGAUGAGCUUGGCUGCCCUAGAAUAACUAGGUGCAUGAUGGCUUGCGCCGAGAUUCCUAGAAGUAGCCACAAUGGUCUGUUUCAAGGCUUAGCUAGUUGAAGGAUUAUGGGUCUAUCGGCUUAAUCCGCAGGGAACCGGGCCCUAGAGACGGAGGGGGCACAUUAUGCAGCACACCCAAUGGGC
rnacentral:lncRNA from 1 species